ensembl:lncRNA
CGAGGAAAUGGUGUCUGGAGGUCAGGUCUCUGGAGCAGCAGAAAACCAAAGAGAUGACUGGAAAGAAAUGUAACACCCCAAAGAAGAAGGGAGUAAUGGAGAGUUACCAGCUUGGAGUUCUGACUCAGUCUUUCUCCUCCAGCCAGCACAACCUUACCAGAAGAUGGUGUGACCACAGCAGUCUCCAGUGACGGGCAUUCUUAUGGUUCUGAUGAUGCAUCGACGUCGCUGCCCCCAAGAACUGUAAGACCCCACCACACCCCAACAUACGAUGAUGAUAAAUCCACUCCAGAGCCCACAGUCCACAGCAGAGAGAACUCCACGGACUCCAGGGUUAUAACUGACCAUCCUAGCGAGAAAGUGGGUGGAGAGACAGAGACAGCAACUGAGAAAGGUAGGCUAGAAUGAGUUACCCAAAGACAUCCACUUCUUGUCAUCAACUGCAUUCCUAAGCUUUAGAA